UACGGAGGGGGCAAGCGUUGUUCGGAAUCAUUGGGCGUAAAGGGCGCGUAGGCGGCUGAUCAAGUCGGGUGUGAAAUCCCUCGGCUCAACCGAGGAACUGCAUUCGAUACUGGUCGGCUAGAGUCCGGGAGGGGAUGGUGGAAUUCCCAGUGUAGCGGUGAAAUGCGUAGAUAUUGGGAAGAACACCGGUGGCGAAGGCGGCCAUCUGGACCGGUACUGACGCUGAGGCGCGAAAGCGUGGGGAGCAAACCGG
rnacentral:rRNA from 1 species